rnacentral:lncRNA from 1 species
CCCCUGUCCGUCACGUGCCUCCUGGGGGAGGCGUGUAACCUGCGACCGCCUCAGCACCAGACGCCUCGGGCCAGCCACCCAGCAAGCCGCCGCCAGCAGAGACUCUACUCGGGACUUCUGCAUGGAAGAUAUCAACAUUGCUCAUCCAGCACCAACUACCCGUUGUGAGGCUAAGUCCUAAGUGAGUAUGGCUGAGAGGUGAGGUUCCCUUUUUCUGAACUCCACUCAGGUAAUGGGGGU